UGGGGAAUAUUGGACAAUGGGGGCAACCCUGAUCCAGCAAUUCUGUGUGCACGAUGAAGGUCUUCGGAUUGUAAAGUGCUUUCAGCAGGGAAGAAAAAAAUGACGGUACCUGCAGAAGAAGCGACGGCUAAAUACGUGCCAGCAGCCGCGGUAAUACGUAUGUCGCGAGCGUUAUCCGGAAUUAUUGGGCAUAAAGGGCAUCUAGGCGGCCGGAUAAGUCUGGGGUGAAAACUUGCGGCUCAACCGCAAGCCUGCCCUGGAAACUAUGCGGCUAGAGUACUGGAGAGGUGGACGGAACUGCACGAGUAGAGGUGAAAUUCGUAGAUAUGUGCAGGAAUGCCGAUGAUGAAGAUAGUUCACUGGACGGUAACUGACGCUGAAGUGNUGCGAAAGCUAGGGGAGCAAACAGGAUUAGAUACCCUGGUAGUCCUAGCUGUAAACGAUGAUUACUGGGUGUGGGCAUGAAGAGUGUCCGUGCCGAAGCUAAUGCGAUAAGUAAUCCGCCUGGGGAGUACGGCCGCAAGGCUG
rnacentral:rRNA from 1 species